AAAAUGAUGUUACUGUAGUAUUUACCCACUCCUAAAAAUCUAUUUUCAGAGACAGGUGAUCCUAUCAUCCGUCAGGGGCUGACGAUGGUGUCAGCCGCCCUGAAGAUGAGCAACCCACCACUGAACUGAUUUGAAAAGAAGCGGCCCAGCACAUGCAUGCAGAUCCUUAUCUCUUCCUCCCACAUUACUUUCUCUCUCUUGUUUAUCUCUUCUCCCAUCUCUUGCGUGCGGCAAGCUCUGGCUCUUGCGUGCGCGCGGCUCAGAUUUUGAUUUUUCCCCCAAAUCGCUUUCCUGGAAGAGAUGUUGGGAUUUUCACUCGAUUCACGGAGCGGCGGCGGCGGCGGCAAGAGCCCAGUGGCGGCCUGGCAAGCGGCGGCGGCCGGGCCGUGUGGAUGAGCAGCGGCGGCCUAGUGCACGAUAAUGGUCUGGACGAGCAGCAGCAGCCUGGAUGGCAAGCGGCGUCAGCCAGACGAGUGACAGUGGCUUGGGCUGACGAGCGGCGGCAGCGGCGGCGGCGGAGCUGGCCUGGACGGCCGGCGUGGAGAUUUUUUUUGUUUUUCUAAAUCGUUUAGCAAGGGUGGGGGACCGGGUGGUCCGCCUAAAAUUGAUUUCUAGGAACGGGCGGAAUACCCGCUCCAACAAAUUGUAUUUUUAGCUACGAGAGAUAGGAGUGGACAUUGCAUCUGUCCUUACAAAUACAAUUUUACCCGUCCCUAUAAAGCAUUUAUGUAGUAGUGUGUGCGCUA